GAUGGAAGAACGCAGCGAAAUGCGAUAAGUAGUGUGAAUUGCAGAAUUCAGUGAAUCAUCGAAUCUUUGAACGCACAUUGCGCCCCUCGGUAUUCCGUGGGGCAUGCCUGUUCGAGCGUCAUUUACCCCUCAAGCACUGCUUGGUGUUGGGCGUCUGUCCCGCUUCGCGCGCGGACUCGCCCCAAAGGUAUUGGCAGCGGUCGUGCCAGCUUCUCGCGCAGCACAUUGCGCUUCUCGAGGCGGUCGAUCGGCGUCCACGAAGCUCACCUCCACCGUUUGACCUCGGAUCAGGUAGGGAUACCCGCUGAACUUAAGCAUAUCAAUAAGCGGAGGA
rnacentral:misc_RNA from 1 species